rnacentral:rRNA from 1 species
UACGUAGGGGGCAAGCGUUGUCCGGAUUUAUUGGGCGUAAAGAGCGUGUAGGCGGUUUGGUAGGUCCGUUGUGAAAACUCGAGGCUCAACCUCGAGACGCCGGCGGAAACCAUCAGGCUAGAGUCCGGAAGAGGAGAGUGGAAUUCCUGGUGUAGCGGUGAAAUGCGCAGAUAUCAGGAAGAACACCCGGUGGCUAAGGCGGCUCUCUAGUACGGUACUGACGCUGAGACGCGAAAGCGUGGGGAGCGAACAGG